rnacentral:rRNA from 1 species
GAUGAACGCUGGCGGCGUGCCUAAUACAUGCAAGUCGAGCGAACAGACGAGGAGCUUGCUCCUCUGACGUUAGCGGCGGACGGGUGAGUAACACGUGGAUAACCUACCUAUAAGACUGGGAUAACUUCGGGAAACCGGAGCUAAUACCGGAUAAUAUAUUGAACCGCAUGGUUCAAUAGUGAAAGACGGUUUUGCUGUCACUUUUAGAUGGAUCCGCGCCGCAUUAGCUAGUUGGUAAGGUAACGGCUUACCAAGGCAACGAUGCGUAGCCGACCUGAGAGGGUGAUCGGCCACACUGGAACUGAGACACGGUCCAGACUCCUACGGGAGGCAGCAGUAGGGAAUCUUCCGCAAUGGGCGAAAGCCUGACGGAGCAACGCCGCGUGAGUGAUGAAGGUCUUCGGAUCGUAAAACUCUGUUAUUAGGGAAGAACAAAUGUGUAAGUAACUAUGCACGUCUUGACGGUGCCUAAUCAGAAAGCCACGGCUAACUACGUG